rnacentral:rRNA from 1 species
AGAUCGAACUGAAGAGUUUGAUCCUGGCUCAGAUUGAACGCUGGCGGCAUGCCUUACACAUGCAAGUCGAACGGUAACGCGGGGCAACCUGGCGACGAGUGGCGAACGGGUGAGUAACGCAUCGGAACGUGCCCAGUAGUGGGGGAUAGCCCGGCGAAAGCCGGAUUAAUACCGCAUACGACCUACGGGUGAAAGCGGGGGACCGCAAGGCCUCGCGCUAUUGGAGCGGCCGAUGUCAGAUUAGGUAGUUGGUGGGGUAAAGGCCCACCAAGCCUUCGAUCUGUAGCUGGUCUGAGAGGACGACCAGCCACACUGGGACUGAGACACGGCCCAGACUCCUACGGGAGGCAGCAGUGGGGAAUUUUGGACAAUGGGGGCAACCCUGAUCCAGCCAUGCCGCGUGCGGGAAGAAGGCCUUCUGGUUGUAAACCGCUUUUGUCAGGGAAGAAAUCUCCUGG